UACGGAGGGUGCAAGCGUUGUCCGGAAUCACUGGGCGUAAAGGGCGCGUAGGCGGCUCGUGAAGGCUGUGGUGAAAGUCCGGGGCUCAACCUCGGAUCGGCCGUGGCGACUCGUGGGCUGGAGCACUGUAGAGGCGGGUGGAAUUCCCGGUGUAGCGGUGGAAUGCGUAGAGAUCCGGAGGAACACCAGUGGCGAAGGCGGCCCGCUGGGCAGUGGCUGACGCUGAGGCGCGACAGCGUGGGGAGCAAACAGG
rnacentral:rRNA from 1 species